CAGGAGAAACGCUGGGCGGGCGUGCCUUAACACAUCCAAAGUUCGAGCGGAAGGUUUAUAAGAAAGGUUUUUUGGGAUGAUUUCAUAUAAACUUAGCGGCGGACGGGUGAGUAACGCGUGAGGAACCCUGCCUUGUAAUAGGGGAUAGCCUCGGGAAACCGGGAUUAAUACCCUAUGAUACUUAUUCUCCACAUGGAGAUUAAGUUAAAGCGAUUUAGCGGUACAAGAUGGUCUCGCGUCCCAUUAGUUAGUUGGUGAGGUAAUGGCUCACCAAGACCACGAUGGGUAGCCGGCCUGAGAGGGUGAUCGGCCACACUGGAACUGAGACACGGUCCAGACUCCUACGGGAGGCAGCAGUGGGGAAUAUUGCACAAUGGAGGAAACUCUGAUGCAGCGACGCCGCGUGAAUGAUGAAGGUCUUCGGAUCGUAAAAUUCUGUCCUAGGGGACGAUAAUGACGGUACCCUAGGAGGAAGCCCCGGCUAACUAUGUGCCAGCAGCCGCGGUAAUACAUAGGGGGCAAGCGUUGUCCGGAUUUAUUGGGCGUAAAGGGUACGCAGGCGGUCCUUUAAGUCAGAUGUGAAAUCUUACGGCUCAACCGUAAUUAGCAUUUGAAACUGGAGGACUUGAGUUAAGGAGAGGAAAGUGGAAUUCCUAGUGUAGCGGUGAAAUGCGUAGAUAUUAGGAGGAAUACCAGUGGCGAAGGCGACUUUCUGGACUUAUACUGACGCUGAGGUACGAAAGCGUGGGGGGCAAACAGGAUUAGAUACCCUGGUAGUCCACGCUGUAAACGAUGAGUGCUAGGUGUCGGGGGUCAAACCUCGGUGCCGGAGUUAACGCA
rnacentral:rRNA from 1 species